GUGCCAGCCGCCGCGGUAAUACGAAGGGGGCUAGCGUUGCUCGGAAUGACUGGGCGUAAAGGGCGUGUAGGCGGUUUGUACAGUCAGAUGUGAAAUCCCCGGGCUUAACCUGGGAGCUGCAUUUGAUACGUGCAGACUAGAGUGUGAGAGAGGGUUGUGGAAUUCCCAGUGUAGAGGUGAAAUUCGUAGAUAUUGGGAAGAACACCGGUGGCGAAGGCGGCAACCUGGCUACAUUACUGACGCUGAGGGCGACGAAAGCGU
rnacentral:rRNA from 1 species